rnacentral:rRNA from 1 species
UGGGGAAUAUUGGACAAUGGGCGCAAGCCUGAUCCAGCCAUGCCGCGUGCAGGAUGACGGUCCUAUGGAUUGUAAACUGCUUUUUGUACAGGAAGAAACAGUUCUACGUGUAGAACCUUGACGGUACUGUAAGAAUAAGGAUCGGCUAACUCCGUGCCAGCAGCCGCGGUAAUACGGAGGAUCCAAGCGUUAUCCGGAAUCAUUGGGUUUAAAGGGUCCGUAGGCGGUUAGAUAAGUCAGUGGUGAAAGCCCAUCGCUCAACGGUGGAACGGCCAUUGAUACUGUCUGACUUGAAUUAUUAGGAAGUAACUAGAAUAUGUAGUGUAGCGGUGAAAUGCUUAGAGAUUACAUGGAAUACCAAUUGCGAAGGCAGGUUACUACUAAUGGAUUGACGCUGAUGGACGAAAGCGUGGGUAGCGAACAGGAUUAGAUACCCGCGUAGUCCCUGAGCGGGC